UCAGGGUUGCAAGUUGGAUAUAGAGAUUACUUAAAAAAUAAAAUUUUAAACAAAGAUGUGCCUUUUUAUUUAGAUAUAAUUGAUAUAUAACAUUGUGUAAGUUCAAGGUAUAUAAUCUGUUGAUCUGAUACAUUUAUAUAUUGCAGAAUGACCAACACCACUGUCGCAUUAGCUAACACCUCUGUCACAUCACAGAAUUAUCAUUUUUUUUUGUGAAGAGAACAUUUAAGGCUGAGUCUCUUAGCAACUUGGAAGUAUAUAACACAGCAUUAUUGAUUGUAAUCUCUAUGUUGUGCAUUAAGUUUGGAGAACUUACUCAUCUUCUAAUUGCAAGUUUGUAGCCUUCAACCAACAUCUUUCCAAUUCUUCUACCCACCCCCCGUGUGCCUGGCAACCACCAUUUACUCUACAAGUUCAACUUUUUAAGAUACCACAUAUAACUGAUAUCAUAGGAUAGUUGCCUUUCUCUGGUUGACAUUUUUUUUUCUCACUGUCUUUGAUCAGGUCUUUAUUCAAAAUUAGCUGUCCAAAAUGAUUUGACUUUUAUGGAAUAAACAAAUCUAAGUUUUUAGGCAGCAGGCUUCUUGUCAGCUGCUGGUUUCUUGGUAGCUGCAGCCUUUUUUCCUACCAAAGGUUUCUUCUGCUUUUUCACAUCAACAGCCUUCUUUCCUUUCUUCCCUACCACAGGCUUCUUGCCUGGAACCCCCUUCUCAUCUGAUUUGGCUUCGAAGGCUGCCGCCACCUUAUCCAUCCAGAGUUUGUGAUUCUUGGCCUGGCGAAGAAUGGUGUUCCAGCGCAUGGUCUUUGCAUACGAGUUUAGCUUCAACAUGAUUCGUAGGUUCUUCAGUGACAUCACUUAACAUAAUGCGCUCAAAGUCAUGUUGUCACAGAUGGCAGGAUUUCUUUGUUUCUCAUGGUUGCCUAAUAUAAUGUAUAUAAUUAUAUACAUAUAUAUGUAUAUAUUUAUAUAUAUAUAAAAUCCGCUAUGUGGUAUAUAUAUAAAAUACAAUGUGAUAUAUAUAUAUCUCCUUUGAUUGACAGUUCAUCCAUUGAUGGACAUUUAGGUUGUUUUCAUAUCUUGGCAAGAAUGAGCAAGAGAGAGAACAUGAGCGGGGGAAGGGGGGCAGAGGGAAAGGGAGAAGCGGACUCCCCACUGAGCAGGGAGCCUGAUGCUGGGCUUGCUCUAGGGACUGGAAUCAUGACCUGAGCCAAAGGCAGUGGCUUAACCAGCUGAGCUACCCGGACUCCCCUCCCAUGACAUAUUCUUAAAUGAAAAAAAGGGAAAGUUUUAAAAUAGUGUGUAAAGUCCAUGUCUCUUACUACUAAUGUCAAUAAAAUAUCUUGACAUAUAUAUCUAUACAUAUACCCAGAUCUAGAGAAAUAUACAUCAAUUAUUAACAAUGAUUAACCCCCCCCCCAAAAAAAAAAAAAA
rnacentral:lncRNA from 1 species